UAAUUAUAGAUUAAUAAUGGAAGGUUGCCUCUACAUAUGCAGUGUAACUUACAAUUAAAGCAUCACAACCAAGAGGUUGAUGAUAUUUUGCUGCCAAAACACCAAGGGAACAAAGUCUAACUUUAGAUUGAUUUGUUGUCCCAGGCAGGCGGCUACUACCUUGAGCAAUCAGGGCGAGGCGAUACCGCGAGAAGGUAAUGUUGUGAUUUAUGAACUCUGGCAAUCACGUUAGCAAUGGUGCCAGGGCGAUGAAACUAGCUGACAAGCUAGCAUCAAGUCAGUUUCAGCACGCCCCACAAGUCGGAUCCCACCUUCAGAGCCCACCUUCGUCAUCGUCUUCCUCCAGCGAUCGGCACUUGGACAUCACCUUCCUCCAAUAGUUGCAAGUGCCCCAGUUUCCUCUGUUGACUCUCCUCGACUGUUAUCGGCUCCGUCAAGCAAUCACACCACCUCCAGUAAGUAAUAUGUGCAUCAAAUUAUCUCCAGCAUGUAUCACCUGCACCAAUUUAGAUAAUUUGCACGGUUCCUGUAUAUGGCAUUGAUGAAUUCGUUACUAAUCAUGGAUCAAUGGAUUGGGUUGCUUACCAUGAUGAAACCAAUUGAGGAAGUACAGAAGAACAGACGGACAAGCAGAGAGCAAACUUCAAACAUCUGCGAGAUGCANNNNNNNNNNNNNNNNNNNNNNNNNNNNNNNNNNNNNNNNNNNNNNNNNNNNNNNNNNNNNNNNNNNNNNNNNNNNNNNNNNNNNNNNNNNNGUCCUUUUGCUAUUGUAAGUUAUUUCAAUUAUGUAAGCAAUUUCAGAAUUAUGUAUGACUUUUUACAUUACUUUUACAUGGUCAAAUUCUUUCAGUGGUGAGAAGGUAGGGAUCACUCUACGGGGAUAUAUUUUAGCAAAUAUGGUAAAUGGAAGUUUGGCACAAAAAACAAUCAUGACUGUCACUUCCAAUUUUAUUCAAGUAUCAAAGGUGAGAACUUUAAACUAUUUUUGCAAUACCCCAAAUCCAAUGUUUCUAAUCGUUUAUCGAUAACCAGGGUGAUUAUUGGACCCAAUAAAUGCAUGUACCUGCAAAAAUAAUUUACACAUGUCAAAACUUUAAAUUUUUGUUUUAAGAAAAACAAAUGUCCAAUUUUAUAUUUUAAACUAUAUGGUAUUCUACCUUACCUUACUGGCAGGACAUGACAAAAAUCAUGACCAUUUUAGCAUUGAUGGUACCAAUGACGAGGUAUUCUCAGCUAAGAAAGAAGGUUCUUUUUUUUAUGUUUGAACGGACAUGCACCAACAGCUUGGUGCUACAAUGCCACAUAUGCAUCUAUAAACACAAUUAGUUUUCUAUUAAAGUUUGCCUAGCAGGGAAAGUAUAUUAUUCACAUUCAACUUUUAGUGAGAAUGGAUUCAAAAUCUAAAGGAAAAAACGAAAAAUAAAAGGACAGAAUGCAAAAAUAAGAGAAAAGAAUCAACAGAAGACAAGAGGAUUAGGAAAGCACCUGGAAGGAACACAGGCUAGGACGACGCAUUAGCAAGUGCUAAACUACAAACUUAAUCCCCUUGGCUGCACUUAUACAAAUAUAUUCUAGAUAUUCUAUAUACUUGGAAGUAGUCUGCAUUAGCAUACAAUUGUGUUUACUUUAAGAGUCCAUGAGAACAUGGAUUUAACUUACUAUGUGUGCAUGCAGACUUAUCCAGUUUGGAGACACUGAAUGUUUAGUCGUUCUCAUCUUAACAUUUAAUUAUGCAAAUUAUAUUGAUAUUACACCAUCCUUUCUCAUAUGUACUUAUUUUUUAAUUUCACAAAGAAUUGAAAAAGGAGGCUUUUCUUUAUGGCGACAAUAGAAUCGAAAAAGAGGCAUAC
rnacentral:lncRNA from 1 species